AGAGUUUGAUCAUGGCUCAGAUUGAACGCUGGCGGAAUGCUUUACACAUGCAAGUCGAACGGCAGCACGGACUUCGGUCUGGUGGCGAGUGGCGAACGGGUGAGUAACAUAUCGGAACGUAUCCAAUAAUGGGGGAUAACUAAUCGAAAGGUUGGCUAAUACCGCAUACGCCCUACGGGGGAAAGCAGGGGAUCUUCGGACCUUGCGUUAAUGGAGCGGCUGAUAUCUGAUUAGCUAGUUGGUGAGGUAAAGGCUCACCAAGGCGACGAUCAGUAGCUGGUCUGAGAGGACGACCAGCCACACUGGAACUGAGACACGGUCCAGACUCCUACGGGAGGCAGCAGUGGGGAAUUUUGGACAAUGGGCGCAAGCCUGAUCCAGCCAUUCCGCGUGAGUGAAGAAGGCCUUCGGGUUGUAAAGCUCUUUCGCAAGGGAAGAAAACUUACUUUCUAAUAAAGAGUGAGGUUGACGGUACCUUGAUAAGAAGCACCGGCUAACUACGUGCCAGCAGCCGCGGUAAUACGUAGGGUGCGAGCGUUAAUCGGAAUUACUGGGCGUAAAGCGUGCGCAGGCGGCUUUGUAAGUCAGAUGUGAAAUCCCCGAGCUCAACUUGGGAACUGCGUUUGAAACUACAAGGCUAGAAUAUGUCAGAGGGGGGUAGAAUUCCACGUGUAGCAGUGAAAUGCGUAGAGAUGUGGAGGAAUACCAAUGGCGAAGGCAGCCCCCUGGGAUAAUAUUGACGCUCAUGCACGAAAGCGUGGGGAGCAAACAGGAUUAGAUACCCUGGUAGUCC
rnacentral:rRNA from 1 species